CCUACGGGUGGCUGUAGUGGGGAAUAUUGCACAAUGGGGGAAACCCUGAUGCAGCGACGCCGCGUGAGUGAAGAAGUAUUUCGGUACGUAAAGCUCUAUCAGCAGGGAAGAAAAAAAGUCCUUUGGACUUUGGACGGUACCUGACUAAGAAGCCCCGGCUAACUACGUGCCAGCAGCCGCGGUAAUACGUAGGGGGCAAGCGUUAUCCGGAUUUACUGGGUGUAAAGGGAGCGUAGACGGCAGCGCAAGUCUGGAGUGAAAUGCUGGGGCCCAACCCCGGAACUGCUUUGGAAACUGUGCAGCUGGAGUGCAGGAGAGGUAAGCGGAAUUCCUAGUGUAGCGGUGAAAUGCGUAGAUAUUAGGAGGAACACCAGUGGCGAAGGCGGCUUACUGGACUGUAACUGACGUUGAGGCUCGAAAGCGUGGGGAGCAAACAGGAUUAGAUACCCGGGUAGUC
rnacentral:rRNA from 1 species